GGAAGUAAAAGUCGUAUCAAGGUUUCCGUAGGUGAACCUGCGGAAGGAUCAUUAUUGUAUAACCGAGGUGCGAGGGCUGUCGCUGACCCGAAAGGUCGUGCACGCCCAAGUGCCCUCACACACAUCCAUCUCACCCCUAUGUGCACCACCGCGUGGGUCCCCCUUUGGCUUGUUCGGAGGGGGGCUUACGUUUUCACACAAACUUUGUAUGCAGUGUAGAAUGUAUUUUUUGUUUUUGCGAUCACGCAAUCAAUACAACUUUCAACAACGGAUCUCUUGGCUCUC
rnacentral:misc_RNA from 1 species